rnacentral:rRNA from 1 species
CCCUUAGAUGUUCUGGGCCGCACGCGUGCUACACUGAGUGGAUCAGCGGGUCAGGUUGCGCGAAAUCGUUUCCUAAUCUUUAAAUCCGCUCGUGAUGGGGAUUGACGGUUGCAAUUUUCUGUCAUGAACGAGGAAUACCUUGUAAGCGCGGGUCAUCAUCCCGCGCUGAAUACGUCCCUGCCCUUUGUACACACCGCCCGUCGCUCCUACCGAUUGAGUGGUCCGGUGAGGCUUUGGGAUCUGAGCGGAAAGAGCGUUUCGCUGUUUCUGCUCGGAAAACUCAGUCGAACCUUAUCAUUUAGAGGAAGGAGAAGUCGUAACA